rnacentral:lncRNA from 1 species
GGGGGCGAGGGGAAGGGGAGCUGGGAAGGGCGGAGGGGGCGAGCGAGACCCCGAGCGGAGAGAAAGGCCCGCGGAGACAGACCGAGACCGAGCGCGGCCGGCCGGGCGGGCCUGACGCACGGGGAAGGCCGAGGCCGCCGGGCGGGGCGGCCGCGAGGGACGGAGGCAGGAGACGGGCAGAGCGAGGGGAAGAAAGAAAGGGCGUCCGCCCGCCCGGGGAUCCCGAGGCGAAGCGCGGCGUCGGCGGCUUUUGUCGUGAAGACGGAAAAAGGACCCUUUCUCACUUGGCUCCGGCUCUCCCUUUUGUUUUUUCAUUUUAUAGCAGAACCGAAUUUCCAAGCAUUAAGAGAAGAUGAAGCCAAAUGAUAGAAGUGUAUUAUGGAAGAACUGGGAAACACUACUUGGAAUCCAUCUUGUCCUAACAAGAAG